AGUUUCUACUUACAAUGGUGACAUGGAAAAAAUACUGCUGGUCACAGGCACCAUGGGACACUAACAGAGCUUCUGAAACAGACACCCAAAGCAUUAGAAAGAAAAACAGCUCUCCAUUUGAGUAACACUGUAUUGAGAAAAAAAAAAAGAAGUUCAAAGCAUCUUAAGAAAAAACUUAGAUUAGAUGAAAGAUUGAUCAAGUCAACCAAAAAUACUCCCCUUAAACAAAUUUCUCUCUAAACGAAGUGCACAGCUACUCUCAGCACAAGAAACAUGAGCAUUAUGAAAAAAAUAUAUAUUCUCAGCAGAAUUUUCUAAGGUUUCUCUUCCAUGUCUGCUGCUGUCUCAUCUCCUAGCCAUUGGAUGGGAGUUCCAUAUUGGAAUACAUCUCACAAUUUCCACAUGCACCUUU
rnacentral:lncRNA from 1 species